UCCGGUAUGGUGUAACGGCUAACAUUAUUGCCUUUCAUCUUUAACGCAAUGGCUCGGGGUUCGAUUCCCCGUACCGGAG